CUUAGAGAACAAGCGAGCCAGUGGGAGCUUCGGACGGUGUUGCCGCUGCCUCUGCCUCUGCCUGACGCUCAGCCGAGACAGAGCGCAAGCCAGCCAGCCAGCCAGCCAGCCAGCCAGCCAGCCAGCCAGCCGCGCACCCAGAGACAGACGGUAAAAGUGCAGGCUGGAACGAGAGACAGAGAACUGAGACAGGAGAUCGGCACAGGGCGAAGGAGGCUUCUUUCCCGCUCUCCUGCUAACCUACGCGUUAGGAUCUGCUACCCAUUCUUCUGUUCGCCCAGUAAUUUUAUUUAUCCGCUACCGCUCAUCAGCUGAGUGGUUUCCUGGCAAAGCCGUUUGGAUUUUUAUUUUAUUUUAAAGAAGCAAAGCACCCCGUUUUUCCCUCUCUUCUUCACGCUCGAAUCCAACCGGGCUGUGUGAUUCAGGGCUCCGAAGAGGGGAAAAAAUGUUAAUCUCCUGACGGUUAAAAAAACCCCCACCAAAAAAAAAAAAAAAAAAAAACCAAUCCUCCAACUUCAGCUUGAAAGGAGCAACUUCCCGCAGCCUCAGGAGCCAGACCUUGGGGUGAGAGAGAAUGCACUGAAACUUUUGGCAAACUUUUUCGCUUUUUUCCUCCCCUCCAGUGUUCCUUCCCCCCUUUUUUCUUUUGGUGGUGUCCUUGCGGUGCGCGCGCUCGCGUGUGGUGCCUUGCCACCGAAGGGGGGAAAAGAGAGAUCUGUUACAGUUCGGAACCGCCUGGGACGUUGCUGGGAUUGCCCCGGAGGGGCGUCCGAUCGGAGCCGAAGACGCCCGCUGCUCUACAAGUAGAGGAAAGAAGUGUAGAGGGGGAAUCCGCGUCUUUGGCGCCUAGGGAAGCCGGGCUUAUGGACGGGUGAAACCAGAGUCUAAAAUCUCCCCCCUCUCUCCUUCACCAACCCCAGAGCUUUCCUUGAUCGGAAGAAGAGCAGAGGGACCGAGCGAAUCUUAACGCGCUAACUCCGGCUUCGCUCCAGGAAUCAUGAACUUUCUACUCACUUGGAUCCACUGGGGGUUGGCGGCGCUGCUCUAUCUCCACCACGCCAAGUUAUCACAGGCUGCUCCUUCCCCAGGCGAUGUGGAGAAGCGACAGAGUGACGUGAUGUCAUUUAUGGAAGUUUUCGCUCGCAGUACCUGCAAGCCAAUUGAGACCAUGGUGGAUAUUUACCAGGAGUACCCUGAGGAUGUGGAACAUAUCUUCAAGCCAUCCUGCGUUCUUCUGAUGAGAUGUGCAGGGUGCUGCAAUGAUGAGUCACUGGAGUGCACACCUACGGAGGUGGAGAGCGUCUCCAUGGAGAUCAUGAAAAUUAGACAACUUCAGAGUCAAGGUGUAACUCAGAUGACCUUCCAACAGCACACGCGUUGUGAAUGCAGACCAAAGAAAGACAUCAGAACUACACAAGAAAAAAAAUCAAAGCGAGGAAAGGGGAAGGGUCAAAAGAGAAAGCGCAAGAGAGGCCGGUAUAAACCACAAAACUUUCACUGUGAACCUUGCUCAGAAAGGAGAAAGCACUUGUACAAACAAGAUCCCCAGACCUGUAAAUGUUCCUGCAAAUUCACAGACUCACGUUGCAAGUCGAGGCAGCUUGAGUUAAACGAGCGCACUUGCAGAUGCGACAGACCGAGACGGUGAGCAGCAGAGAAGAAAGGGGGUGGGGGAACAGCCUUGGUUCUGGAGCUUGAUAUCUCGCCUGGUCAAAAUAAAAACACUAAUCCAAAUGAACACUAAAAUGAAGGAUCAGUAGAGCACAGCACUUUUUGAGUACGGACGAUGGACUCCGGAAGGAACAUUCCCCGAGAACCCGCACAGGAUUCGCCUUUCUUGGAUUUGAACUGCUUUUAUGGAGAGACUUUCCUUCUCAUGCUGCUAAAUAAUAAGAGCCAGGGAGACUGGAGUGGUCUGUGUUUUGGGACUCCCAUUUCACAUGAAUAAUAUAUAUAUAUAAUAUAUAUGUAUGUAUGUAUAUAUAGAUAUACAUAUAUAUAUUCUGAGUUUUAAAAACAUUGCUAACAUUAUUGGUGUCUUCACUGGAUAUACUCAACUGCUGUGGACACAAGUAGGCUACUUGAGGCAGAAAUAAUAAACUGUGGCUGGACUUCCUCUUCUCGUUGACCCUCUCAAGCAAGCUGGCCCACCAACGUGAUGCCUCCCCUGCAGUCUUGCACGGAAAGAUGCUUGUAGCGGAGGAGCAGUGGUGGCAGGGGAUUCCAGAAACAGCACCUGGGAAUACCAUGGGUCACUCAAGCAAGGAAAUUACUCUAGAAGCUGGGACUGAAGAUUCUGUCAACUUCUUUCCUCCCCUCAACUUUUGGCUGCAACCUGGUUCAUGGUCUGCUUCUUUGCUGGGCUGUCGGCAUGUGCUUUUGUACUGACUUGCUGCAGGAACGUUGUCAUGGAUCUACAUUCUGGCUCCAGCUGUGGGAAGUGGCUGACGCGAGGACUGGUCACCUUGAGGCAGCAUCAUUGGGAUGCUCUGCAGGCUUCCACCCCGGUUGGCUGCUGAAAUAAAGGAUAUCUGGCCAGUGGUGCACAGAAGCAAGAAUGGGGACUGGUGUCUAUCCAGGCAGUUGAACAGCACUGUCUGCCAUUGUAAUGCACAGAGCUGCCACUGAAGAUACUUAACGGAACAUCUCCGGAAAGGGAUAUUAAUCUAAAGUAUAUAUGUACAAUAGUUUGGUGUUUUGGCUCUGAGGAAACAAAAAAGCAUCUACAUGCAACUUGUCAAAAUUUACUGGGAAAAAGAGCAACACUUUGGAUGUACCACCACAAUCCAUACACUGUCAAACAAGCACAUAGGUUGCAAUUCUAUAGGGUACAAUCAUUUACUUGCUUAGACAGAAGUUUUAAAAGUGCCAGAUGCAGGAUUCCACUUAUACACACUUAGCUGGGAGUAACAUUCAAGAACUCAAUGGAACUUCCUUCUCAGUAGGAACAGAGAAAUCUCUUCACAUUUCAAAUUUUUGUCCAUCUAUAUACAACACUGUUGAUUUGCAGGGACAUCAGCAUAUCUACCAUAAAAUAUGUCAAUGGUGUCAUUGGGAAACACAAUUUAAUAUGCAAUUGUAUAUAUGUCUACUCAGCGGCACACCCCAUUGAGUUCAACAGGAUCCACUCUGAGGUAAAUAGUUACUGGAUUGCAGAUUUAAUUUGUAAAGGAGAGAAGGUAGGUUCAACAACAGUAAUUGUUCUCAGGUUCUUCUUACCCAGGGGAGGCCGGACUUGCUGAAUGAAAGAGCCACAUAUGGUAAAUGUCAGAUGUUUGAUAGCUGCAAGUGGGCGCCCGCCCAUGGGUGGUGGAGGGAGGCAGCAAGGAACAAGUGGGCACCCAUGAGCACUGCUGGUGGGGAGUGGCGAGCUGCAAAAUAAACCCAAAGAGCCGCAUGCAGUUCCCUUGCCCUGGUUUGGCCACCCAUGCUUUAACAGAUUCUUUUUUUUCUUUUCUUUUUGCAGUUUUGGAGUAUAAUACAGUAAGUAACUGUGGCUUUAUGAAUCCUAGCAAUGAUGGAGGGAAGCUCCAUUUCAGCCCAUAACACUGAUGAUGUGCCAGUGGGUCAUCCUAUGUGAUUUAAGAAACAAUUUCUGCAUUGCUUCUAAGACAUAUGCAGUACAAUUCUAUGCCUCUUCUCUGAAUUUAAUGGUAUGUACUCUCAGGCUUCAUGUUAGAUCUUCUUGUGUCUUUUGCUACAUGCAAGCUUUGAAUAUUCUGUCAGCAAUGAAGAAUACCUGAAGGGUCAAGAAGAAACAUGUAGCUUGACUGUAAGGGAAAUAAAGACUCAACAUUUCCAAGUACUGCUACUCCAAGGGUGCAAUCCUAUACAUGCUUACUUCAGAGUGUGUAUGAUUGCUUCCCUGAAAUGAAAGCUGAAUCACAUAUGGUAUAAAUACAAUUAUUCUUUGGUAGUUUUCAAAACGUUACCCAGAAAGGAAAUGUCUUUCUUGAGUAAAAUAGACACUUGGCAGUUACUUGAUUGCAUAGUAAAGGGCCACAGCAGGCUCUGCGGUGUGAGAUGAAGCCCAUUAGUCUUGUUGCCGCUUCCUCUGAAGCAAGGGAGGAAACUUUCUGUGUUGAAAGUUUAAGUCCAAGGAUGGAGGGAGCCUCUCACUUCCAGAAAAUGAGGUUUACAUGGCUGGUUCUGGUGUUACUAAAACAGAGUGUACUAUAGACCCAAGAAUUCUGUCCCACCCCCAUCCUCAUUCAUUGCUUCCAGAAAUGAUGACUAAGAGAUGCUCUCACAAUCCCACCCAACUCUGACCACAGUGAAAACCCCAAAGGAAAUACUAUUGGGUGCCUGAAGCUGUACCUCCCUCUUACCAUAAAUGCUUCCCCCAUAGAUGAGGUAUAUUUUUGAAUGCCGGGAGAGGGGGAGGACAAUUUGGAUUAAUAUAAAGUCCAUGUGGAUACAAAGCUAUAAGUAUAGGGUGGGGACUGACCUCAGGCUUCUUCCUGUCAUUCUCAGCUUUUAUCUUUAAAAAUGAAAAUACAAAUUUCUUACUCCUUAUGAGUUCCUCAGAAAGAAGUAAUUCUGCCUUGCGCUUACAGGAUUCUUAGUGAGUACAGGGGUACUUCAAUGAUUGACAAGCAUUUGGCACUUAAAUUUUAAUAAAAUGUAAUUUAAUGCCCACCCCCCAAUCAUUUAAUAACUAUGCAUAUAUGUUUUUUUUAAUGACUACUGGUAUCCCUGCUUUGUUUCCCUCAGCGACAUUAAAGGCAAAUUUCUGACUACAGAACUGAGUGAAAAUAAAUUCUGUGUGAACCUCUACAUUACAGAACAAUCCUAACCCCCAAGUUUGCUGAGUGGAGGAAAUCAGGAAUGAAUGGGGGUGACCCUCUGCUGGCAAAUGUAGCAUGGGUGUGGGGUGGGGGACUGAAAGAACCUCAUGGAACGGAGAAAAAUAUUCAACCCCUUCUCAUCUGAGCAACAUGAGCUGGCACGGCAGAUCGCAUGGCAGCAUCGUAAGUGGCAGAUGAUUGGCCAUUUCACUGCAGUCCUAUUUGGACUUGCACUAUUGGCAGGCGACACUGUCGAAUUCCAUGUGUGGGUGGACACGGGCUGUUCACUGAAAGUUAGCAUGCUUGCUAAAGGAGCCAUAACUGCAGGGCUCCAGGCCACAACUGUGCUUCUUGGAGAACCCUUGGAGAAUGAAGCUGUGGUGGGGUCCCUCCAGUUACAAUCCACCAACAAAGGGUUUUGUAUUUUUGGUGUUUUGUUUUUAAAAACCUACUCGCUGCAUGGAAAGAUGGCUGAGAGGGAAGAGGAAACAAGAUCACCUGUCUGCCUGGACCUCUUUCUUGUACAUGGAGUAAAGAUAACGACAGACACUGGCUUCAAACUUUGCUCCAAAAAGCCCAGGCAUUGCUCCUCCUGAGAGCUGAACAAAGUAUUAAAAUGAAAGCGCUGACUCCAUAACAACAAAGAUCUCAGACCUUGGCAUGUAAUAUCCAUUACAUCCGAGUUAGUGACUGUUGCUGAGCAAUAAACACCUCUCACACUAUUAAUAAAACCCUAUUUGGCAGCCCUGGUAUUCAUAAUAUUAGGCCACAGUGCCCUAGUGCGCACAGCGAAGGCUAAAUUCAGAUGCAGCUUUGGAAGCUGGUGCAACAUACAACUUGCUUCAGUGCUCCCUCUGUGCACAGGUAAUCAUGUGAUUGCAUAUGCUAUAAAUAUAAUGCAUUAGACCAGCAUUCCCCAACCUGGUGCCCUCCAGGUGUACUAGGCUACAACUCCCUUUGCUAUGCUUACAUAUUACCUUGAAGAAGCACAGACAUGUACUUUUUCCUAACCUACCACAGAGAUGCUAUUAAAUGUGCUGACUAGGAUGAGUCAGCAGUAACAUCUGAGCAUCUCUGAAGCACUUUCCCUCUUCUGCAAUUCUUCCCCAUCCUUCAUUCAAGGAUGAGUUUACUGAACAUCUUAAGUUGUGGCAUCCCACAUGUGCUCAUUUUCUGAAAGAUGAUAUAAUACCAUCCUUGAAUACUUACAUCAAGAAAUGUCUCCACAGUUAGUACCAUUGCUAACAGAUGUUAAGGAUAUUUGGGGUUAGAAUCCAAGACUUGGAAGUCUUGCCUUGGUUUUAAGUUUAGUUUGAUUCUUUGUACUAAAAAUCAGACUAAAGCUGCAAUCCUACAUAGUGUGAAUGCUGUACUUCAGGCCAGUAGACCACAUCUGUCCCACAUGUGGUCCCAGUUGCCCCUACUUAGGUGGCCAAGCACCCUUCCCAUGGCCACUUUCUCUUGGUAUCUCCCAGCCUUUUUCAGUCCUUUCCCCACACUCCUUCCUCCCAUGCUCUAAUGGUUGAAAAGUCUCUCUUAAUGUUUAGUAACUGACAAUAUAAGUUUUAAGCUUUAAAAAAUGCUUAUGUUGUUGGCAUUUUGGCCCUACUUCUUUUGUCUUCAGCUCUACCUCCCACCAUUCAUAAACAUACUCCCUCUGAGAGCUUCUCUAAACUUGAGCUUGACCCUUAGUCUUAAGAGGUUCAACAUCACUGCUAUACACACUUACAUUGGAGUAAGUCACAUGGAUUUGCAUAAACAACACACUACUGCAUAGCGACAGAUGUGGAUAGGAUUGCACUAUCCUGGCUGCAAGCACAGUUUUGCAUGUGAAGGAGAUGAGAGGUGACAGGAAGAACAAUUGCUUGUGGUUCUUAUUGCAGGUUCCCUCCCAUGUUUUGGAACACAUCUUUUCCAUCUAUCUUUGGUGAGAUCUGAGAUGAGCACCCUUCCAGAGUAUGGAGCUUUACAAAUUUUGAAAAGGUGGAGUAGAAUACAAAAGAAGAAAAUGUAUUCUGCUGCCAUGGAAACUUCUAUCCAACCACCCUUGCCCACAGUCAUGCUUUCAAGAACUAUCUGAGACUUCUCUUCUCAUUUGGUCAAUUUCUUAUUAAAGCAGCUAAGAAAGCAGUGGGUUUUGAAGAAGAAAGUUAAAGGGAGAGCAGGCAACAUUGAUUUUACCACUCAGCAUACUCAGGCAGCUUCUGAGGUUCAAAGCCACCUACUGGAACCCACCAAUGUUGGGGCCCUCAGCAACUGUGGUUUUUGUGGUCUCCAUUUUAGUUCCCCUGAAGUUCCAGCAUUCCAUGGCAUUGUAAGUUUAAAAAUUUACAAAUGAUGGCCACCACAAAAAAACUGGUAGCUGCCAUGUGCCAGAGAAUAACAGAAUUCCUGCAAUGCUGCAAACCAAGAUGGCAUCUACAACUGGGACCCCAUAUUUCCAGCAUUCACUGCAAAUAUAGUCAGAAAGACUGAACUUAGAGACAACAAACUGUGCUUUCCCUUUUGACUUCUUAUGCCCGCAAUGACAUCCUGCCUCUACUAUACCUCUGCCUUUAAGUAGAACUGAUACAAUUCCACUUCUGCAUCUUCUCUAUUACUACAGGGAAUCAGUGGGGCUCCAGGUGUGAAAUGCAUCCCUCCACAAAGGAUACUUUAUGCAUCAUCUCACUAUUGGCUUGGAUGCAAUGAAAGUGGGCUGUGCAUGUGGCAUUGACUGGGUCUUCUGCAAAAAAAAGAGACACGUCUCUUCCCUGCAGCCAGAAGGCUAAUGUAAGUUACAGCCACUUUAACGUUUUCUCUUCUAAAGCAAUAUUUUCUGACUAAAAUAACACUGUUAUUCUUCUGGAAAUCAGUUCUGGUCUUGCCCAAGACUUACAAGGCCUUCAUUUCUCAAUUUGAAAAGGUAUCCUGUAUCAUUUCUUAAAGGGAACAUUUCAUUAUUAUUUCCCGGCACUUGAUACAUAAGGGAAAUGCUGUUUGCAUAUAUCUAGGAGAGAUUUACUGGGCUAUCAAAUUAGACAGGCAGCAGCGAUGAAGGAACCCAUGUGGUGGGACAAGUUGAUUUAUCAUCCUGGUGCAAUUUGUGUUUGGCAGUCAUCACUCAUCACAGUGCAUUGGAAAAAAGGUGUGCUCCCUCAAAGGAAAGCCUCUGCCAUCAGUCAGAGGGCACAAAGUAGGAAGUGGUUUCCUUGCUAAGUGUAUGCCUAUACAAACAUUCUCUUCAGCCGAUAAAUCAGUUUUGUAGAUUGCGUUCAGCUAUCAAACAAAAGAAGCCCUGGGAGGAGUUUUAUUUUAUGCAAUUAUUAGUACAAUCAAAAUGUUAAAAACAACCACUAUUGUAUUUGCUGCUUUGUUCUUUCAAGUUCUCACUGUUUCAGAGAGUAGUCAUGCUGCAAAACCAUUUCACAGAGGAGUGGGAAUUUUUAAAAGAAUAUAUAUUCUAAUUUUUUAGUAGAAAGCUUUUUAUAUAGAGAACAUUUAGUAGAAUUUUAGUAGAAAGUAGUAACUUUUAGCAGAAAGUUGUGUGUGUGUGUGUAGAAGAAUAUGCUGUUAUUUUUCUCCAGAACAAAGUCUCAGAAUAAGGAUACAUUUAGGGCAAUACUGGGGCAGAAGGAAAGCUGUUAUUGGAGUCUGCUGUUUCUGCCAGCAACACCUCCUUCCCUCAACCUGAUUCUCACAGAAUCAUAGAAUCACAGAACAGUUGAGCUGGAAGGGGCCAGAGGGCUAUUGGGUCAGUGCCCUGCUCAGUGCAGUCCCAGUUAAACCAUCCCUCUCAGAAGGCUGCCCAGUUGCCUCUUGAGAGCCUCCAGCAAGGGGGAGCCCACAAUCUCCCUAAGUCAUUGGUUCAUUGUCAUACUGCUCUAACAGUCAGGAAGUUCUUCCUGAUGUUCAGCCAGAACCUGGCUUCCUGUAACCUGAGCCCAUUAUUCUGUGUCCUGCACUCUGAACUUUUUAACACAGGUUAAAAGGCAUGGAAAAUGAAGCCCCUGUCCCUAAAAAUAUGAGAAAAUUGUACAGCAUGUUUCUUUCAGGGCUGAGUCUCCAAAUAUGUGCAUAUUUGGUUGUAAUAAAGGUAUUGCCUGACUUUUUAUAUUUUUCAUUAGUUUGUAUCCCAUACAAAAUAAUAGAACACACCAGAACCACACUGUAUGGCAGGGGUCCAGAACCUUGGGCCAGGAAGCUGAAUGUGGUGGUUCCUCAGAUUUUGUACAAUCCCCAAUUCUAAAAGUUGAAAUGUCCCUCCCAAGGUUUACUUCUAGCAGUCAAAGCUGCCAAACUAAAAGAUGCUGGAAAUGUUUGCUAUUUUAGCUGUAAAAUGUUUGAUAUUUUGCUUGUGGCCCUCCCCACAACUAGCAGGAAGCCCUCAAGAGAUUCUUUGAAAUUGUGUUUGGUCUUCAGGCUGUAAGAGGUACAAUAUGCCUCCAGCAUGGGGCAUAUUGUAUAUAGAGAUGGAUGAUGCAGUGAGUAAGCACUGCAGGUCAGCCGUGAUGCAUGUUAGAACAGUGCUAAGAAUCCCAUACCUGUUUAGGAAGAGAGCACAUGUAGGGUGAGCCCUUACAAGAAACUAGGAACAAAUAAAUGAGUUGCGAUAGUGGAAAACAUUAUCUUCUUAUAUUAAAGUUUCUCAUGGCUGUGUUUUAACAUUUAAUGAACCCAAUGAUGGCCACAUAUUUUAUUUUUAAUGAAACAAUAAAACCUUGCUAAGCUAUUAAAGGUGCAAUCCUGUACACGUUUAGACAGAGAUAAGUCUUACAACUCCCUGCAUGGCUAGCUGGAGGAUGGUGGGGAGUGUCCAACUUAUUUCUGUCUGAACAUGCAUGAGAUUAUGCCAUUAAAUAUUAAAGCCACUAAAAGCAAUUUGGAAGGCAAGUCUUACAUUUUUUGAAAAGCCCAGAGAAUCUGGGGAUGAUCCUGGCAGUCUGUAACUGUAUUUCUCAACCCUGUGCCCUCCAGACUUCUAGUAUGCCUCAACCAGGCUGGGCAAUACUGGUUUAUUUGGGUGUGUUUGUCUCUGCAUGCACACCCCUAUUACAACUGCUUGCCAUAAAAAGAAUUGUGACUAGUAGCUGGCCUUUUAACGAAAUAAAGUUCCAUUAUUAUGGUGUAUCACAAAAGAGAACAAAGAUAUAUACUAUUUGACUUUGUACUGUAAUUUCUGUUUCUGCUAAACACAGGAGGAAUAAGCAGAGAUAAACUUCUUGCCUUUUAAGUGUUCUGCUGAGUCACACAAAGUGCUGUGUAAAACAUUCAUAAACAUUCAUAAAUACACAAAUGGCAGAAAAAUGGCAUACAGUCUCCUGUUUUGGUAGAGAGGUGGAGUAUAAAUCAAAACAAAUAAGGGUGCAAUCUUACGUACAUUAGACAGAAGAAGGUCCUGCACCUCUUUGGCUGGCUGGGGAAUGCAAAGAGUUGUUAAGACAGAAAAAGAUCAUAGUGUAUACAUAGAAUUGUGCCUUAAACCUAUUAUAGUCACUGGGGUCCCCACCCUCUCACUGAUCCAUCCUUAUGAAAAAGCAGAUGGAGGUAUGGACUAGGCCACAUCAAAUUCUUGAUUUUUAAAAUUGGUUUUUAAGCAAACCAAUCAAAAUUAAUGCUUCCUGGACUAAUAUGUGGAUUGGAGCACAGUUAUUCCUUGGAAUGUGCACUUCUGCACUCAGAAUUUACACACAAAAAUCCAUUAGGGAAAUUAUUUAAAAAGUGUGUGGCAUACAAAAGAGGUUAAUUCACAGCUAAAAGACACACACUUCCUGGUGGAUUUUCUAAACACCACCAUUUGGAAGGCUCUUCCACACAGUUCAUGCUUUCUGUCCACUCUGAGCCUUUUCCAAGUCUUAGAAUGGAGGAGAGGAUCAUGAAUUCUGAAAUCCUCACCCUAAGGUGGACCCUUUCCAGACGGCCUAACUGGGCUCAACUACCCAUGCUUCAAUGCAGAUUUUCAAACGGCCAUGUUCAGUGGGAUUUUUCUUGCCAGCUGUCUCUUUCUUUCUCCUCUAAAUACUUUGGAAGCCUCUAGACUUGAUGGGGUCUCCAGUUUUUCAAACCCUAACUCUGAUGUGUUUUAUAUUGUUUUAAUAAUUGAGGUUUUAUAUUGUGCUUUUAUAUUUUAUAUUGUAUUUUUAUAUUUUGUAAGCCAUCCUGAGUGUUUGGCAAUAAGACGGGAUAUAAAUGCCUGUAAUAAUGAAUGAAUGAAUGAAUGAAUGAAUGUGAAUAUUUGUUUAAAAUGUCAGACCAGGGCAGAAAUGGGACAGAACAAACUGAUAACUGAAUACAUGAACAACUGUGGACUAGGAAUGUACCAAUUUGUCCAUCUUCCCUGCUAUAGUGGAAUCAUAUUCCAAGCCCAGGUUUGGACUGCCCAACAACCUGCCAUAGUUGGUUAUCAUAGUUUGGUUGUUGUGUCAUACAAACACAGCCUGGGUCACUCGGGAUGGGUGUUUUCUUUCAGACAACCACUAUGAGAACCCAUGAGCUGUGCUACAGUUGUCACCCAGGACCCAACCAGCCAUGAAUCCAGAUAACACAAUGGAUGAGCCCCAACAUCCAGUGAGCCACUUGGUAAGAGUGGCAGAAGUCCCUUGCUACUCUUGACAAGUGCCUGCCAGAUAAGCCUCACUCACAGCAACCACCAUGUGGCACUUGAGAACUUCUGCCAGAAGCUUUCCUCUGCCCAGGGGGUAUGAACUGGCCAUCCCUGCUUGUGGAUGGAGAGCAGACCUCUCAAACAACUGGCAGGGAUGGUCAGAAUUUGCUCCCCUUUGCCAGUAGCUUAAGAGGUCUUCUCUGUAGCCUCUAGCAAGGAUGGCUUGAAUCCACUCCUCCUUGCUGAGAAGGCAUGUGUCCAUAGGCCAGAAAGGGCAGACCUACUUGCCUGUGGCUCAAGGGCAGACCUCUCCAGCUGCCAGCAGGGCCACUCCAUGGUCCUGCCGUGUGCUCCAGGCAGCAACCCAGAGUGGAUUGGGCAGAGCAGAGCAGACCUCUCAGGCAGGACUCAGCAGGCUGUUCAGUGGCACUGCCUUCUCCAGGUGGUGCUACCAAGCAGAUCAGUCACAGUCUCUUAUGUAGAGUGAACAGGAGGUGGGGGAACUGAAUUAGCUCCCCAGUCCUCCCUGUUGUCCUCCAGGGGAUGAGCUCUGUUUAUGUUAUGGGUCAAAGAAGAAGAAAGAAGAAGAGGAGUUUCUAUAGUCCAUAAAGAACUGGUGUCCUGAAGUGCAAUAGGGUCAACUUCCAGACUUUGCUGGGGCGAUAUGCAGGGACUGGAAGGUGAUCCCAUUCCCCUUCAGGGCACAAGACCUGUCUGCACAAUAGGGACUGCCUAACAACUCUAGCAAGCUGAAAUCAACUUGCGAUCAUGGCUGCAGAGAAGUGGUGCAUUUGUCCUUGUGGUGUCCUCUGAGAUACCACCUGAAAGAAUGAGAGGGAAAAAGGAACAAAGCAAUGAGCUUGAUCUUGUUGGUCUUAUCAAAGAACAGUCUGCCCACCUUGAUUUAUUGCUACGGUGGGUUGGUAUGCUGUGCAAACUCAAAGCAUUAGGAUAAAUUACAACACGAUCCAAAAGGCACAGCGAGAUAGGGAAAAGGUCAAGUAUAAAGGUCUCAAUCCAGAUGAAAUCAGGCUCAGGCAGGAGCAGUCAAGAUACAAUCAAGGGUCAAAACACAGUUUAGCAGUCAGGUACAAUACACAAUCCAGAAGCAAAGGCAAGCAGAAAUCUGAGGAUCAGUAGUAGCAGAAAGGCUGAGUCACAAGGCAAGGUCAGGAAACCAAGAUACAAAGCUCAGAGCUAGUAAAACUAUGUCAUUCCUCUACCAGCUAGGCUAGAACUGAAGCAUUCUAUAGCUAGAGCUUCCUGAGUGCCAUCCAGGGUUAGCUGCAGUGUAUUACAGGUUGUCUGGCAAAAGCCCUACUCAAGUGGAGGGCUUUCCUGUCAAGGGGUCCUCUCUUCUAGAUGAGCCUUCCUUUGUAAUCAAUCAUUUCUUCGCAGAGGAGCCCUGUUGGUCUGGCUCUUGAAGCAAUAACCUUUUGGGGUGCCAAGUGGUCACCCAACCUCUGUCUCAGAGGUGGAACUGCUUUCUUUCUCUGUGGACAGAUGGACAAGUGGUCAUCUCCCCUACAGGCCCAGGCUCCCCUGGAUCUCUUGACUUGGGAGGGGGCAGGAAUUGCUUGACAUUGGCUGUCUCUGGGACUUCUUUCUGUGCCUUAGAGAAGGAUUCCUCCAGUAGGGACAUGACAUCAACUUAACAUACAGAUGAGACCGACACCCCUGUAAGUGGGCCUGGCUGGGAAAACAGGUGUUUGAAGCAAAGGUAAUGGAGUGGAGUGAGGUAAAAAGGGAGACAUGGAAGAGAGUUUAAGUUCUCUAUCCAUAUGGAAAUACAACUCUUUCCCUGAUAUAUAUGAAACUGAGUCUAUUUGAUUGUGACCUGCUAAAUGAGGCAAGAGAUCGUUGGAUAAAACCUUACAUGCAGGACUCUAGAUGCAAUUGAAUAAAUUGAGGUUUCUUUUGGCAGGAGCGGAUUUUAAUAUUACACUGGCAGUUGCCAGGUUCUUUCCUCAGUCAAUUAAAAUUUAAAAUUUUUAUAUCAUAUAGAUGCACCUAUCAAUAAACUCUUUUAUCUUCAGUCUUAGCAUGACAUCGCUCAGAGCUGAAUUGGCUGUAUGAGCAGUAUCCUUAAAGUAAAGGUAUUAUAAACUAUUUAUGUGAUUGAACAGAUGUCAACGGAUGGGCUGUCCUCUCAUGUCUUGUUUGAUCUAAGCGAUCUGUUGUCAAAUAUCUUUUUCAUGCAAGCAGACCUGCUAUUUGAAAAACACAGAGCUCCCACCAUGUCACAGAUGAAAUCCUGGUGGACUUAUCACACCUCUUUUCUCAGCAAAGAGGAUCCUUGGUUGGGUGUCCUCUGUCCCUCAGCACAUAGGUACUCCCUUAAGCUAUUUUCUGGAUGCUCUUUGUUUGUGCGGCAAUCAAUUCAUAUGGCAUUUACUUACCCUGCAAUAUUUUUUUCUGCAGUAGUUUCUGAUUCUGACACAGGUGUGUGAGGGCUAAACAAAUGUGACAUUAAAUAACCCUUUGCUUUUAACUUGUGUAGUCUCAAUGCAACAUGCUGGUCACAAUCUUCAACUUCCCAAAUGGCUUGGGACUCAGCUAUGAACAACCACCUGCAUCUGUAUAAUCCUGCCCAGACACUAAAAACUACAUCAGGUGUCCUUCUCAAGUGAAAUCGCUUAAGUAUGUAUGCAUGCGAUAUAAGGCCUUCUCAGCACUGGCCCCUAUAUGGCCUUCCUAAUGAUGUAUGCCCAGACCCUUGAGCCUUUAAAUGAAUUCAUAAAUGGCAUCACAAAGUAUUCUCUGACCUACAGGAGCUGAUUUUAGUAUCGAAACGUGUUCCUGUGUAUACUGUUUGUGAGGUUAUGACCUCAAAAAGUGGCUAAUUUUAAAAAAAUAAACAAAGAAAUUAAUGCAUAAACAAAGAAGGGGGAAAUAUUUGAUUGGUACCAAGCUAUCAAAAGGACAUCAAGAUGUUCAUGGCCACUGCGUCAGAGAACAAUCCUAAUGCUAGAAGGAUAUGCAUUGUUCUUUUAGCUUCACUGCAGUCAGCAAUAAUUUUUUAUCUAAUGUAAUCUGCCUGCAUGCAUGGUGGUCAUGUGGAUCCAAAUUCCGUACUAUCUGUCCCUGCUCUCAGAAUAUGCCAGAGCUGUCAUUGCAUAGAACAGUCCUGUAUUUUAAUCUGAUUUCCUGUAAUCCCCCUGUGCCAAGGCUACCUCUGUCAGGAUGGUCUGUUUGUCAUGAGAAAAGGCUUCUCAAAUGGUUCAGGAAACUGGCAGAAAGGAAAAGGGAUGGAAUCUUUUUCCAGAGGCCCUUCUCUAGCUGGAGGAGGAAGGAAAAUUUUAGCAGUGGCACCUUAACUGUGGAAUAUUCUCCCCAGGUGGUCCAUCCCUGCAUAUAUUUUAUUGUCACUUCAUGGCCUAGUGCUGACCUUUUAUUUGGCCAGGCCUUUAGAUCUGUCUUAGCUUUAUGUUGUUUUUACUUUGCUCGUACUUUUUGGUUUUUAUAGUUACUGAAUUUUGUAUCGAUUUAUUUCUUGUGAGCUGUCCUGAGAGCUCUUUUGUAGAAUCAUCCAUGAUUACUGUUGAUUUUGUUGCUGUUACCAUGCACCAUAAAUUCAGCUCACAGUGAGGCAAACCUGAACAUCUUAGAUCAUGCCUUCUGAGUUACACAGAAGUGGAAAUAUUUUAAAACCCAAUCUCUCUCUCUCUCUCUUGGGCUCAUAAUUCACAUAUUUCUACAGGUACCAAAAAACCCAACCAAACACAGAUGACAGUAACAAAGAUUGAGCUUUUUCUAUCUUAAGGUUGGAGGAGUUGUGGGAUGAAUUCACCAAUUUGCUUGGGGGAAGCAUAUCCUGUGUUCAAUCAUUUUGCAUCCUACAACUUCCUAACUCCAAAAUUAGGUCCAAUUAUGUUUGCGCUGGAGUGCCUUCACAGUUAAGUGGUCUGAUGACGGUAAAGAACGUGUGGCUCGGAUGUAUUCUUACCAAUAAAUGUAUCUGUAAAACGAUUUGUAAGAGGCAGAUAAUUAAAGUUUGAAUCAUGUACCAUGUUGUAGGCAAUACUUACAAGAGAUUAUAUGUUUGGCAAGAGAUAAUGGCCAAACUUUGUGACUAAUACGGAAAGGGCUGUGUGUGUCCCAGUGUUUUUCUUUAGCUAUUUGAUAAUGUUGUCCUUUUAAGCAUGGAGAGAAAACAAGGCACUCUGUGAUUAACUCUGACCUCUGCCUGCUAUAAUGUUUGCAUCUGCAAAUUUCAAAAUCUAACAUUUUUCUUAUCAAUUCAUCCAUUACUGCACAUGACAACCAGGAUGCUCAAACUAUCAGGGUUACUGUGCCUUAACACAAACACAACACAGCCUGCAGUUUUCCUUGAGGUUGAUUAGUCAUUAUCAGGUGUUCAGACCAAAACAGGCAAGCAGAAAGUAGGCUGAGAGACUGGAUAUAGGUGGGCAGAUGAGUUGGUAGCCAGGAGGCUGUGGGAGUAGAUUUAACCCUAGAAUAUUCUGGUCUUUUUGGCCUUGUCCCUUCCACCUUCAGCUCUGCCCACCACUGAAUUUCCAGAGAGCUUUCCUGCCAUGGAAUUCAGCCCCUGUGCUGAAAAAGGUCCAGUGGUCUAGGUAUGAAGUGAAGGCAUUGCUCCCUCAUAUCAAUGAGCGUCCCAAACAAAGAAAAACAGGCCUCUGCAUCCCUCAGGAGCCCCAGAUUAGACAUCACGUGACUUCCCAGGCCGGGAGGACCAUGGAGUGCUGUGGCAAGCUCCCAGCAGGAAUAGCCCGUAGCUGUCUUUACAUAGAGCUGAAAGCCAGUGCCUGAUCAACAGGGCUCAAUAACAUUUACUCCUACCUUUGCAUGUACUGCUGGUAGCUGCCGACACAUCUUGCAGCAAAUGCUGUGUGUGUUAAAAUAACACUCGUAUCACCUUGCUAUUUCUUCUCUGCUGCUUUCUUCUAUCACUAGACAAAGUUUAAAGGGAACAAGCUCCAGCUAUUAAAAUAGCUCCUACCAGCCUCAUUUGGUCUAUUUCAGGGCCUGGUUUGACAUAUAUAGGAUAGAGUGUUCUUGUGGGAACUGAAGCCACAAGAAAUCAUCAUUCAAAGGAAAACCAGCUCCUGUUGAACCUGGAGUGAUUCCUUUUCAGCACGUCGCCACACUUUCCUUAAAAUAAAUUGUGACUAUUAUUGUU